UGAUUGAUGGUGCUUGCACCUGAUUGAUUUUGGUCGCCAACGAGUGGCGGACGGGUGAGUAACACGUAGGUAACCUGCCCAGAAGCGGGGGACAACAUUUGGAAACAGAUGCUAAUACCGCAUAACAGCGUUGUUCGCAUGAACAACGCUUAAAAGAUGGCUUCUCGCUAUCACUUCUGGAUGGACCUGCGGUGCAUUAGCUUGUUGGUGGGGUAACGGCCUACCAAGGCGAUGAUGCAUAGCCGAGUUGAGAGACUGAUCGGCCACAAUGGGACUGAGACACGGCCCAUACUCCUACGGGAGGCAGCAGUAGGGAAUCUUCCACAAUGGGCGCAAGCCUGAUGGAGCAACACCGCGUGAGUGAAGAAGGGUUUCGGCUCGUAAAGCUCUGUUGUUAAAGAAGAACACGUAUGAGAGUAACUGUUCAUACGUUGACGGUAUUUAACCAGAAAGUCACGGCUAACUACGUGCCAGCAGCCGCGGUAAUACGUAGGUGGCAAGCGUUAUCCGGAUUUAUUGGGCGUAAAGAGAGUGCAGGCGGUUUUCUAAGUCUGAUGUGAAAGCCUUCGGCUUAACCGGAGAAGUGCAUCGGAAACUGGAUAACUUGAGUGCAGAAGAGGGUAGUGGAACUCCAUGUGUAGCGGUGGAAUGCGUAGAUAUAUGGAAGAACACCAGUGGCGAAGGCGGCUACCUGGUCUGCAACUGACGCUGAGACUCGAAAGCAUGGGUAGCGAACAGGAUUAGAUACCCUGGUAGUCCAUGCCGUAAACGAUGAGUGCUAGGUGUUGGAGGGUUUCCGCCCUUCAGUGCCGGAGCUAACGCAUUAAGCACUCCGCCUGGGGAGUACGACCGCAAGGUUGAAACUCAAAGGAAUUGACGGGGGCCCGCACAAGCGGUGGAGCAUGUGGUUUAAUUCGAAGCUACGCGAAGAACCUUACCAGGUCUUGACAUCUUGCGCCAACCCUAGAGAUAGGGCGUUUCCUUCGGGAACGCAAUGACAGGUGGUGCAUGGUCGUCGUCAGCUCGUGUCGUGAGAUGUUGGGUUAAGUCCCGCAACGAGCGCAACCCUUGUUACUAGUUGCCAGCAUUAAGUUGGGCACUCUAGUGAGACUGCCGGUGACAAACCGGAGGAAGGUGGGGACGACGUCAGAUCAUCAUGCCCCUUAUGACCUGGGCUACACACGUGCUACAAUGGACGGUACAACGAGUCGCGAACUCGCGAGGGCAAGCAAAUCUCUUAAAACCGUUCUCAGUUCGGACUGCAGGCUGCAACUCGCCUGCACGAAGUCGGAAUCGCUAGUAAUCGCGGAUCAGCAUGCCGCGGUGAAUACGUUCCCGGGCCUUGUACACACCGCCCGUCACACCAUGAGAGUUUGUAACACCCAAAGUCGGUG
rnacentral:rRNA from 2 species